rnacentral:snoRNA from 1 species
AUCCCAUGAUGUAAACACUUUCACAACAUGCUUUUGAACCUAUUCCAAGCUUCAUCAAAAUUCUCUGAGUUGCCUUGAUGGAAAACAGAUAUGUCAUACUUGAGCUU